UGUAGAGGAAGCUUUUCCAUUGUUUUUCCGUUGGUUCACUUGAUAAGGUGCAGGACUAGGUCGGCAUGGACAAAGCCGACUUUAUGUCAUCCGUUGCAUUUCAUAUGAUUCUUAGUAGCCUUUCUAUCAAUUGUAAACUAAAAAUGUUGUAAACUUGAUCUUUUCAGAUUCAAGAUUUACUCAGCAGGAACUUCCAGCGUGUAAGCCAAUUCUCACGCCACGAUGGGUGAUCUCAGCAUUCAUGCUUGUAAGCACUGUAUUCAUUCCCAUCGGAGUUGCUUCCCUUUUUGCUUCUCGAGAUGUUGUUGAAAUUAUUGAUCGUUAUGAAACUGAUUGCAUACCAAUGCCCG